AGGCCAUUUAGGGCUUUAAAGGUCAGCACCAACACUUUGAAUUGUGCUCGGAAAUGUACUGGGAGCCAAUGCAGAUCUCUCAGGACCAGUGUUAUGUGGCCUCAGCAGCCGCUCUGAGUCACCAGUCCGGCUGCCGCAUUCUGGAUUAGUUGUAGUUUCCGGGUCACCUUCAAAGGUAGCCCCACAUAGAGUGCAUUGCAGUAGUCCAAGCAGGAGAUAACUAGAGCAUGCACCACUCUGGCAAGACAGUCUGUGGGCAGGGAGGGUCUCAUCCUGCAUACCAGAUGGAGCUGGGAGACAGCUGCCCUGGA